CUCCCACUAAUUAGUGCCAGGGUGAAGAACUAAGAAGAAAUUCUACUGCAGAAUCUGGUAGCCCCUGGCUUGGACAGGUACAUUUUUGGCUGGGUAAGGAACUGGCUGGAAGGCCAGGCCCAGAGUGGUGGCAGAUGAGAGCCAAUGGCAGAGUUCUGUUUGAGAAUUUUCAAGAGGAUGUCCACCUGACACUGGUCUUUCAGAGGCCGAGGUAUCUACCGGUGAAAGAAUAACUGUGCUUCUUUGAGGAAUAGAGUCUGAGGUUACAACUGCUGCUGGAAUCGUGGACCACAGGCAGAAUACACUGUGAGCUUUCUGUCCAGCAGCAUUUAGUAUCUGGAGGAAGCAGGCACUGCUGUUAUUUGCUGUUGCUGGCUGUCAUGCUGCAUGUAAGUCUGGCACCUCAGAGCAAUUGCUUUGGAUUAGAGAUGGAAUUCGGCAUACAAAGGAAAAAUGGUACUCCUAUAUAAAUAACUGAGAGUCUCACAAUGGCCCUUUGAACCAGCUCGUUUGUUCUAGUCACUGCCUGUGAGUAGCAUGAGUUUAUCUAGUACAUGCAGCCAUUGAAAGUAAAGUUAAAAAAAAAAUAACAAAAAAAAGAAAACCUGUUACAUUCAAGGUUGUACAGAUCUAUUCUAUGGGCUAGUUGCCUGUGUCCUAAUUAUAUAAGAACAUUUGUUUAUCCAUGUAGUUAUCUGUUCAUCUUUGUGCUUGCUCCAGUAGCCAGAAAUCGCAGUCCCUCUCUUUGUAAGGGUAACCAUGUGAUUGCACAGCUCUUCCGUACUUCUACAGCAUGAUUUAUUUUUAUUUUGCUUCUUUAAGUGGCCUACUGCACACUGAGUAGCUUAAGCUUCCAUUAUCUUUGAACAGCAGCAGUUAUUUAUAUAAAUGAAAUCAUUGUAUUUGCAUUAUUGGCAGUGUAGAGGAUAGGAAAUCAAAUGGCUUAGUUUGCUGGAGUAUUCUGGUAUUCACUUCCAGCAUCAUGGGGCCUGCAUCAAUCAUUAGCUUUUAGAAGCUAGUACUAUCAAUAUUUAUUCUGGAUCUUAAAUAUCUCAGUUUUCCUCAAGAAAUACAAGAUGAAGGCAACAGGAGGAUUUGAAUGUUCUGAUGUAUUUUUUGUUUGUUUGUUUUAAAGAAGAAGCAAGCUGACAGCUGAAUUGUUAGUUCAUAACUUGUAGUUAAUUAGUAGAAUUCCCUCAGCUGUUUGCAUAAGCUGAUGGUGAAAGAGUCACAAUGUAUUGUUAAAGGGCAAGUAGAAUAAUUUGUUCCUAUAGAAGAGACAAAAAUUAUAUGUUUAUUGUGCAUCCAAUUUUUCUUUUUAGAUGAAUAGGAGAGGUCACCAAAAUAAUUACUUCCCCUCUAUGUAUAUAAAAAUAUUUUUACAUUAGAUAAAAAGCCUUUCUCCACUAAAUAAAUGAUAUAUGGAGACUAGACAUGUCACUAAAUGGGUAUUUUACAUAAUCUCAGAGAGGAGGGGAAAAAAAAA